ACAUUGUUAUUUUCUUUUUCAGUGCAUUCUCUAAUAAAUUGUAUUGGUAUGUUUUAACAAUUUUUGAAAAAUGUAUUUAUUUAUAAUGCUAUUCAUGACUUGGUUUUUUUUUUUAAAGUUAUUAAAAACCGAAUAAUUAAUUAACCUAAAAAUAUCGAGGGAAGGAGGAGGGGAGUGAAUGCCCCCAGUACCUUCUGAAGUUCUAACAAUUUCACUGCUGCUAUUAAG